rnacentral:rRNA from 1 species
GAUGAACGCUAGCGGCAGGCCUAACACAUGCAAGUCGAACGGUAACAUGAGUAGCAAUACUUGAUGACGAGUGGCGCACGGGUGCGUAACGCGUAUGCAACUUACCUCUAACUGGAGAAUAGCCUUCCGAAAGGAAGAAUAAUACUCCAUAGUAUUACGAUGUGGCAUCACAUUGUUCUUAAAGCUUCGGCGGUUAGAGAUGGGCAUGCGUCUGAUUAGCUUGUUGGUGAGGUAACGGCUCACCAAGGCAACGAUCAGUAGGGGGCCUGAGAGGGUUAUCCCCCACACUAGGUACUGAGACACGGACCAGACUCCUACGGGAGGCAGCAGUGAGGAAUAUUGGUCAAUGGACGAAAGUCUGAACCAGCCAUGCCGCGUGCAGGAUGAAUGCCCUAUGGGUUGUAAACUGCUUUUUAUAUAGGAAUAAACCCCUUUACGUGUAAAGGGCUGAAGGUACUAUAAGAAUAAGGACCGGCUAACUCCGUGCCAGCA